UGCCUACGACGGUUUAUAAAAGGCCAUUAGUUAGGAUUAGGAUGGAGACGGCCAUCAGGGCAAACUGAACCAUGACCAACAGGUGCUCUCCUUCUCUUCCCUGCAUGUAUGUGGCGGCGAUCUCCCUGGCUGUCAUCGUCUCUAUCUCCGGCGUAGUCGAUUGCUCGGAGGUCAAAGAUGACGCAGCUGCCCGUCCGGACGGAGGGCGGGAUGGCUGGGCGCCGCCGGCGCCGCGACCGGGCACCGUGCACCACAGGUGCCCCGACCUGGAGCCCGAGUGCGCACACCCCGGCGCUCCACCUCCGCCGCCCGCGCCGCACCGGAAGAUCGGCCGGAGCUGGUAGGAACUAACGCCGAUGAUUAGCGAUGUGAUGGGCCUCUUAUCACCCUGUGCUAGUGCCAAGUAUGCAUGUAACUAUCGAUGCUGCUGCGAUGUAGUGCUGCAAUGUACUGCGCCGCUUUCGGCUUGCCUGAACGACACAGCUUUGUUGUUCAUUCCCCAUGAAAUCAUUUCGUGUUUGGCA